AGUGAACGCUGGCGGUAGGCCUAACACAUGCAAGUCGAACGGCAGCACAGUAAGAGCUUGCUCUUACGGGUGGCGAGUGGCGGACGGGUGAGGAAUACAUCGGAAUCUACUUUUUCGUGGGGGAUAACGUAGGGAAACUUACGCUAAUACCGCAUACGACCUACGGGUGAAAGCAGGGGAUCUUCGGACCUUGCGCGAUUGAAUGAGCCGAUGUCGGAUUAGCUAGUUGGCGGGGUAACGGCCCACCAAGGCGACGAUCCGUAGCUGGUCUGAGAGGAUGAUCAGCCACACUGGAACUGAGACACGGUCCAGAUUCCUACGGGAGGCAGCAGUGGAGAAUAUUGGUCCAUGGGCGCAAGCCUGAUCCAGCCAUACCGCGUGAGUGCAGAAGGCCUUCGGGUUGUAAAGCCCUUUUGUUGGGAAAGAAAAGCAGCAGGUUAAUACCCCGCUGUUCUGACGGUACCCAAAGAAUAAGCACCGGCUAACUUCGUG
rnacentral:rRNA from 1 species